GGAAGUAAGAGUCGUAACAAGGUUUCCGUAGGUGAACCUGCGGAAGGAUCAUUAAAGAAUUUGCCCCGUCCUCUCGAGGAUGGGUCCUCUUCUAAACCGUGUAUACAUACCUUUGUUGCUUUGGCGGGCCGCCGUCUCGGCGUUGGCUUCGGCUGACUGUGCCCGCCAGAGAACCCCAACUCUUCUGUUUAGUAUUGUCUGAGUACUAUAUAAUAGUUAAAACUUUCAACAACGGAUCUCUUGGUUCUG
rnacentral:misc_RNA from 1 species